rnacentral:rRNA from 1 species
UACGUAGGGGGCAAGCGUUGUCCGGAAUCAUUGGGCGUAAAGAGCGCGUAGGCGGUCCGGUAAGUCCGCUCUGAAAGUCCGGGGCUCAACCCCGGGAGGCGGGCGGAUACUGUCGGGCUAGAGUCCGGAAGAGGCGAGUGGAAUUCCUGGUGUAGCGGUGAAAUGCGCAGAUAUCAGGAGGAACACCAAUGGCGAAGGCAGGUCACUGGGCCGCAACUGACGCUGAGGAGCGAAAGCGUGGGGAGCAAACAGG